UUUUUCCUAGUCUUGCUGUGUCCAUCUCAGAUGGUCCCCUUCAAUACAACUAUUAGGUAGUUCCUUCUUUACAGCUUCAUGAUUUGGUUUUUCCGUUCUCAGUUUUUCCUCCUUUUCUUAUAAGUGUGAAUUCAUUUGAUUGAAAUUUUACACAUGUUUUGUGGGGACAAAACAAUCAAUUGGUUGAAGCUUAUAUCUGAUAAGUAAUAUGACUUGGUAAUAAAAUAACAUCACGACGUUUGUCAUAUUCAUAGCUCGAGAUUAUCAAUGACUCGACCGAGAGGAAAGAAAGAAAGGGAAAUCAUUGAUUUGUAAAAAACUAUAUAUUAAAGAUAUAUUUGUGAUGUUUUUCUUUUACUUUUGAGAUUUUUUAAUUCUUAUAUUUUAUAUUUUAAUUUUUUUUAGUUUUUAUAGUUUGAAAGUAAUCUUUUUAGUUUUUAUAAUUUUUAUUUUAAUUAUUUUUUAGUUUUUAUUAUAAAAAAUAUAUAUACAUAUAAUUAACUAUAAAUUAAUUAUAAAUUAUCUUAUAAUAAAUUAGUUAAAAAUUACUUGAUAAUAUUGGUAGUUAAUCAUAAUUGAUAAUAUUACUUAUAUUUUGAUGAUAAGAAUUAAAAGAAAAUUAAAAUAUAAAAUAUAGUGAUUAAAAAGAUUAUUUUCAAACUAUUGAGACUAAUAUAUUAUUAAAAUACAAAUUAUAAAAUCUAAAAAAAUUACUUUGAAAUAAACUAAAAAAAGAAAAAUAUAAAUUAUAGAAACUUAAAAAAAUUAAUUUAAAACUAUAAAAAUUAAAAGGUAAAAUUAUAAAAAUCAAAUAAGUAAUUAAACCUUAAUGUAUUAAUGUUACGAAGCAUGCUUUGAUUUCUCCACUUUCCAUUAGAAAAUCCUUUGCACAAAUCAAAUCAUCCACUUAUUCUGGUUUUCCUUCAUAGUCACAAAAUAUGACUCUUAACUUCUACUCAUAAAUGUGCAAAAAUCUAUAUAAAUAACUUUAUAUAAAUUUAAUUUAGUGCAAUCUAUUCAAAUGAAACUGGAUACAUGCGGUUGAAUUCAGAUAUAACACCAACAUCUAUGUGGAUAAAGCAUCAACAGUACUGUUCAUUCCAUAAUUGAUUUUUUGAUUUGUUAUGUAGGGAAAGAAGUGAGAUGUCAAUUUUAAAUUCUUCUCCAAUACGAAAUUAAACAUAUAAAAAUAUAUUUAAAAUCAAUUCUUGACUAAUAAAUUUCUUAACAUCAAAUCAAACGCAUAUUAUAUUGCCUUAUUCACUUUGAAAAGAAAACAAAAAACUCAAUUUCUUAGUCAUUGUUUGAUUUUUCUAUAAAGAAAAAUGAAAGGCUUCAUUUUGAUUUAGUUUAUGAAUAAAUAAUAUAGCUAUAAAUUAUAGCUAUAAGCUUGGUUAUUAAUUGUUCUAACUUCGGAACAGACAUACAUACACUACAUCACCCAAAAACAAGAACAAGGUGGAACAAGAUUAAUUUCUAAUAUUAUAUUACAUUGAAGUGGAUCUCUCCUCAAUAAAUAAAUAGUAGUAAAAAGUCGAAAAGUGGUACUUAUAAUUAUAAUAAAAAUAAUUAUUAAAAAUUCAUAUUUCUAACACAAAUUUACUCAAUAAUCUCUGGGAAGUUUCAGUUACAGUUACACUUACGUUUGUUGACUUGACAUUGAGAAAAACUAGAUAAUUGACUGCAUAUUUUUCCUAGUCUUGCUGUGUCCAUCUCAGAUGGUCCCCUUCAAUACAAGUAUUAGGUGGUUCCUUCUUUACAGCUUCAUGAUUUGGUUUUUCUGUUCUCAGUUUUUCCUCCUUUUCUUAUAAGUGUGAAUUCAACUUUGACUUUUAGUAACGUUUCCUGAUAUUUUCCUUUAUAACCCUUGAAUAACAUUAUCAAGUAUUUUCCUAUGAAUUAGUGUCCCCGUUGUUUCGCUGUAUUGG
rnacentral:lncRNA from 1 species